AAAUCUGGCUCUUCCCGGGGUCYGAGUUGUUAAUUUUUUAGAGAGUGUUUCGGGGUGAGAUUACGGUUUAAGUCCAUUGGAACAUGGCGUCAUAGAGGGUGAGAAUCCCGUAUGCGACUGUGAAUCGAGCCCAUGUGAAGCCUCUUYGACGAGUCGAGUUGUUUGGGAAUGCAGCUCAAAAUGGGUGGUAAAUUUCAUCUAAAGCUAAAUACUGGCUGGAGACCGAUAGCGCACAAGUAGAGUGAUCGAAAGAUGAAAAGCACUUUGGAAAGAGAGUCAAACAGUACGUGAAAUUGUUGAAAGGGAAGCGCUUGCAACCAGACCUGUCCGUAGGUGAUCAGCCGCUGUUCUCAGUGGUGCACUCGCUMUGCGAUCAGGCCAGCAUCGGUUCGGGCGGUCGGAUAAAGGCCUUGGGAAUGUAGCUUCUUUCGGGGAGCCUUAUAGCCCUCGGUGCAAUGCGGCCAGCCGGGACCGAGGACCGCGCUUCGGCUAGGAUGCUGGCGUAAUGGUUGUAAGCGACCCGUCUUGAAACACGGACCAAGGAGUCUAACAUCUAUGCGAGUGUUUGGGUGUUAAACCCAUGCGCGGAAUGAAAGUGAACGGAGGUGAGAACCCUUAAGGGCGCAUCAUCGACCGAUCCAGAUGUCUUCGGAUGGAUUUGAGUAUGAGCAUAGCUGUUGGGACCCGAAAGAUGGUGAACUAUGCCUGAAUAGGGUGAAGCCAGAGGAAACUCUGGUGGAGGCUCGCAGCGGUUCUGACGUGCAAAUCGAUCGU
rnacentral:rRNA from 1 species